rnacentral:misc_RNA from 1 species
GAUGAAGAACGUAGCGAAAUGCGAUAAGUAAUGUGAAUUGCAGAAUUCAGUGAAUCAUCGAAUCUUUGAACGCACAUUGCGCCAGCCAGUAUUCUGGCGGGCAUGCCUGUUCGAGCGUCAUUUCAACCAUCAAGCCCCAGGCUUGUGUUGGAGCCCUGCGGCUGCCGCAGCCUCCCAAAACCAGUGGCGGGCUCGCUAUCACACCGAGUGCAGUAGUUUACUCUUCGCUCAGGGCGUGUGGCGGGUGCUAGCCGUGAAACCCCCAACUUCUCAAGGUUGACCUCGGAUCAGGUAGGAAUACCCGCUGAACUUAAGCAUAUCAAUAAGCGGAGGA